rnacentral:rRNA from 1 species
GGUGAACGCUGGCGGUAGGCCUAACACAUGCAAGUCGAACGGCAGCACAGUAAGAGCUUGCUCUUACGGGUGGCGAGUGGCGGACGGGUGAGGAAUACAUCGGAAUCUACUUUUUCGUGGGGGAUAACGUAGGGAAACUUACGCUAAUACCGCAUACGACCUACGGGUGAAAGCAGGGGAUCUUCGGACCUUGCGCGAUUGAAUGAGCCGAUGUCGGAUUGGCUAGUUGGCGGGGUAAAGGCCCACCAAGGCGACGAUCCGUAGCUGGUCUGAGAGGAUGAUCAGCCACACUGGAACUGAGACACGGUCCAGACUCCUACGGGAGGCAGCAGUGGGGAAUAUUGGACAAUGGGCGCAAGCCUGAUCCAGCCAUACCGCGUGGGUGAAGAAGGCCUUCGGGUUGUAAAGCCCUUUUGUUGGGAAAGAAAAGCAGCAGGUUAAUACCCCGCUGUUCUGACGGUACCCAAAGAAUAAGCACCGGCUAACUUCGUG